rnacentral:rRNA from 3 species
GGACUACUGGGGUAUCUAAUCCCGUUUGCUCCCCUGGCUUUCGCGCCUCAGCGUCAGAAGAGGUCCAGCCCGUCGCUUUCGCCACCGGCGUUCCUUCUGAUAUCAACGCAUUUCACCGCUCCACCAGAAGUUCCACAGGCCCCUACCUCCCUCGAGAUCGCCAGUAUCAGGGGCACUUUUCCGGUUGAGCCGAAAGAUUUCACCCCUGACUUGGCGAGCCGCCUACGCGCCCUUUAAGCCCAGUGAUUCCGAACAACGUUCGCACGGUUCGUCUUACCGCGGCGGCUGGCAC